AGCAGGACUCAGUGUCUAUGUUACACUGAAGAUCCUGGGAAUAAUAAUGCUCUGCAGUGCAGUCUGCCUCUUUGAGUGCUGGUUUAGGUGCUCCAACAUACAAGAAAAGAAUGCAGAAGGAGCAGAUGAUGGCAACAAAGUGUUGGAGCUUCAGGCAUCAUGAUCGUGACCUUGUCAGAGGAUUUCUUCUUUCCAUCCAUCCAACCAUUGCAAGUUCAAGGUCACAGCAGGAACUGGUGUCUGUCUCCAGGCCAGAAGAGGAGCCCAGCCUGGACAGCUCACCGGUCCAUCACAGGCCCAACCAUCGUGUCAUGGAAGGGAUUUCUGAUGUCUUUACUGUCACCUUUGACUGUACAUGUGUUAUAAAGUGAAACACAAUACUUUGGUGGAUCAUGCAAAGGAGGAUUCCUCUAAGUAAGAAAAGGAAAUGUUGUUUAGUACAACUAGAAUGUUUUUUUUCAGCGUUACUCUUAAUUUAUGGUCAUUUUACCUGAAGUUAAAUAUUCAAGACAAGAUUUUAAAGGAUUUUGUUGACCUGUAAAAAAAUGUAAUUAGAUAUAAAAUAUUCUCCUAAAACAUUGGAUUAAACUGGAAGAACUUGGAGUCAUGAAAUUAAAAUACUGUGAUAUAGAAAAGGGCAACAUCAUUUAUACAUUUAUUCUACAUGAAACCAAAUUUAACACCAGCUCCAAGUUUCUCCAGCUGUGGUCCUUGUUCCUCUGGUGUUCCUCGGGGUAAAACUCAUGAAUGUUCAGAGCUCCAGUCUUCAUCAGGUCAACAUGAUGCCUUAAAUCACGUUUUACUGAAACAAAGCUUACAGAGAGUCACUUUUCCUGUUUAUCAGCCUUGGCCUAUUUUAAAGUUUCCUUUGCUUCAGUCACAUCGUGACUCUGUCCUAUCAGGUAUUGCUCCUGUUUCUGAAACUCGUUUCCUUUCCUCCUGUCUCUCUCCUCUCGUUUCCUGAAAUGUUUCAGUCUCUGCCUGCAAACUAAACUCCAUCAGCUGCAUUCAGACUCUAGAGGUCCUGCCAGGAUUGCUUAAGAUCUGAGGAAGCUUUAAAAUAAACUGAGGAAGUUGGUUUGUUGUGUCAUUCAGGUUUCUUAUAGAGACUGAAACCAGCCUGUUUACUGGAUGUGAAGUUUCUUAGUUAUGCAGACUAGAAACAUGUUUAUUGCUUAUGCUUUUCUGAUUUUCUAUUUAUAUGAAAGACUUCUGUGUAUUAGUCAAAGGUAACUAAGAAAAGAGAAAUUAUCACUGAGGUGCAAAAAGUUAUUUUCUUUUCCCAAUAAUAUCCAUCAGAAAUAUCACAUAGAGUUAACUAAUAUUGUUGGUAAAACCAUUUCUACACAAAGAGAAGUCUAUAGUUUAGGUGCAAUUUUUCCUUCUGCUCUUUAUAGUUGGUAGUUGCUGAUCCUGGAACAAUGUUUUUAUUUUGACGUUUGAUAAAACUUUU